rnacentral:rRNA from 1 species
ACCUUUAGCCAAAACAAKUAUUAARGGCAACGCCUGCCCAGUGAAUAAUUAAACGGCCGCGGUACCCUAACCGUGCAAAGGUAGCGUAAUCACUUGUCUAUUAAUUGUAGACCCGUAUGAAAGGCAAAAUGAGGGCCUAACUGUCUCUUAUAAUAAAUCAAUUAAACUGAUCUCCCAGUCCAAAAGCUGGAAUACCAACAUAAGACCAGAAGACCCUGUGAAGCUUAAACUAAACUAUUAAAACACAUAAUAGCUCCUUUAGGUUGGGGCGACCUUGGAAAAAAAAAGAACUUCCAACAGGCUAACAAGCCAAAUCAACGACCCAGUACAACUGAUAAUUGAACCAAGUUACUCCAGGGAUAACAGCGCUAUCUUCCUCAAGAGCCCAUAUCAAAAGGAAGGUUUACGACCUCGAUGUUGGAUCAGGACAUCCUAAUGGUGCAGCCGCUAUAAGGGUCGUUUGUUCAACGAUUAACAGUCCCACGUGAUCUGAGUUCCAGACC